rnacentral:rRNA from 1 species
GACAGAGGUGCCGAGCGUUAGGCGGAAUCACUGGGCUUAAAGCGUGUGUAGGCGGACUUCUAAGUACCUUGUGAAAUCCCAUGGCUCAACCAUGGAACUGCUCGGUAUACUGGUUGUCUUGAGCCACUUAGGGGCAGUCGGAACAGAUGGUGGAGCGGUGAAAUGCGUAGAUAUCGUGAGGAACACCGGUGGCGAAAGCGGCUCACUGGGUCUUUGCUGACGCUGAGGCACGAAAGCUAGGGUAGCGAACGGG